GGGACUGUGGCCCAGCGGAUAAGGCGCCUGACUACGAAUCAGGAGAUCCAGUGUUCAAAUCACUGCUGUCCCU